rnacentral:rRNA from 1 species
AUUGAACGCUGGCGGCAUGCUUUACACAUGCAAGUCGAACGGUAACAGGCCGCAAGGUGCUGACGAGUGGCGAACGGGUGAGUAAUGCAUUGGAACGUGCCCAGUCGUGGGGGAUAACGCAGCGAAAGCUGCGCUAAUACCGCAUACGAUCUAUGGAUGAAAGCGGGGGACCGUAAGGCCUCGCGCGAUUGGAGCGGCCGAUGUCAGAUUAGGUAGUUGGUGGGGUAAAGGCUCACCAAGCCGACGAUCUGUAGCUGGUCUGAGAGGACGACCAGCCGCACUGGGACUGAGACACGGCCCAGACUCCUACGGGAGGCAGCAGUGGGGAAUUUUGGACAAUGGGCGCAAGCCUGAUCCAGCAAUGCCGCGUGCAGGAAGAAGGCCUUCGGGUUGUAAACUGCUUUUGUACGGAACGAAACGGCUCUGGUUAAUACCUGGGGCUAAUGACGGUACCGUAAGAAUAAGCACCAGCUAACUACGUGCCAGCCGCCGCGGUAAUAC